rnacentral:misc_RNA from 1 species
UUUCUUUCGCACACGGAGAAGGCAAAAAGUCGUUUGCUAGUGGCGUGGAACCUUGGUUAAUAUUUUAUCACAAGUAAACAAAAAAAUCAACUGUGAAAAAUAGAAUUAUAGGAUAUUCUUCUGUAAUUUCCUCUAUUUUUAAUUUGAAAUUAAAAAAAAAAAUUCAAAUAAACUUUGAAAAGCUAAUUUAAAAUGCUUUUAGAGAGAAAUAGUUUCGUUUAACUCUUUAACAG